GACGAACGCUGGCGGCGUGCUUAACACAUGCAAGUCGAGCGAAGCCCCCCUUUCGGUAUGGUGUUCUAGCGGCGAACGGGUGAGUAACACGUGGGUAACCCGCCCUCAGCUCUGGGAUAACGCCUGUAAACCGUGGCGAUGAUCCGAUACGACAGCCACGGGUAUCUGCGGGGGGGUGGAGUUUUUCGGCUGAGGCUGAGCCCUCGGCCUAUCAGCUCGUUGUUGGGGGAGUGGCCCACCAAGGCGACGACGGGUAGCCGGCCUGAGAGGGCGACCGGCCACGCUGGGACUGAGACACGGCCCAGACUCCUACGGGAGGCAGCAGUGGGGAAUAUUGCGCAAUGGGCGCAAGCCUGACGCAGCGACGCCGCGUGAGGGACGAAGGCCUUCGGGUUGUAAACCUCUUUCAGCAGGGACGAAGCGAAAGUGACGGUACCUGCAGAAGAAGCACCGGCCAACUACGUG
rnacentral:rRNA from 1 species